rnacentral:rRNA from 1 species
ACGAUUGAAGCCAGUCGUACCUUCGGGUAAUCAGCCUUUCGGGUGCGAUUCUGUGGGGUUUGAGGAGCUUAACACCUUCAUGCUUUGCAUAUUCGUGCUCUUGGGUGUACUUGCCCGUGUGGUUGGUUAACAUCAAUUUUGGUGGUCAUAAAAUGACUGGAGGAAUGUAGGCUUCGAUCUUGUAUGGAAGGGUUAUAACCUUCGGUAGAUGUGAUGAUCGAGAUUGAGGAUUGCAACGGAUACCCUUGGGGGCUACCGGUCUGAUCUCUGAUCGUUGCUCGGGUGCGGAAAGCUUGCUUACGGUUAUCAAAGUCGAUGGUCAAUAGGUUAGAACGGGUUAAAUUCGUUAAGGAGGUGGACGUA